UCAAAUUUGAAAUCUGGCGUCUUCGACGUCCGAGUUGUAAUUUGAAGAAGGCGACUUUGUAGCUGGUCCUUGUCUAUGUUCCUUGGAACAGGACGUCAUAGAGGGUGAGAAUCCCGUGUGGCGAGGAUCCCAGUUAUUUGUAAAGUGCUUUCGACGAGUCGAGUUGUUUGGGAAUGCAGCUCUAAGUGGGUGGUAAAUUCCAUCUAAAGCUAAAUAUUGGCGAGAGACCGAUAGCGAACAAGUACAGUGAUGGAAAGAUGAAAAGAACUUUGAAAAGAGAGUGAAAAAGUACGUGAAAUUGUUGAAAGGGAAGGGCAUUUGAUCAGACAUGGCGUUUGCUUCGGCUUUCGCUGGGCCAGCAUCAGUUUUAGCGGUUGGAUAAAUCCUCGGGAAUGUGGCUCUGCUUCGGUAGAGUGUUAUAGCCCGUGGGAAUACAGCCAGCUGGGACUGAGGAUUGCGACUUUUGUCAAGGAUGCUGGCGUAAUGGUUAAAUGCCGCACGUCUU
rnacentral:rRNA from 1 species